rnacentral:ncRNA from 1 species
CCAAAGGCUCUUUUAAGAGCCACCUACUUUCGCAGUAAAAUGAGCU